rnacentral:lncRNA from 1 species
GGAAGUUCCAGCUAUUACGGCGUAUGUCACCUCGUCGUCUUUUCCUACGUUACUGAUCGUCAGUGAGUGCUUGUUUCCUUCUGCCUUAAUAGCGUAUUUCUCACUGUCAGUAAUUUCUGUGCCAGCUCGCUGCCAUUUCACCUUGAUGCCGGUUUUUUCUGUCUCUGCUUCAAACACAGCUGUGCUUCCGGCUGCCACCUCUGUUGUCUUCGGCUUCUUGGUAAACGCAGACACUGCUUUCUUUGCAGGCUCCGGCAUCUUCACUUCCUGAUGAAAUUCCCAGUUGAAUCUAGAAUCUAGAAAGCAGAGUCCGAACUAAACACAAAUAAGACUGCAGGGCUUUU